rnacentral:rRNA from 1 species
UACGUAGGGGGCAAGCGUUGUCCGGAUUUAUUGGGCGUAAAGAGCGUGUAGGCGGCCAUACAGGUCCGUUGUGAAAACUCGAGGCUCAACCUCGAGACGUCGAUGGAAACCGUAUGGCUAGAGUCCGGAAGAGGAGAGUGUAAUUCCUGGUGUAGCGGUGAAAUGCGCAGAUAUCAGGAAGAACACCCGUGGCGAAGGCGGCUCUCUGGGACGGUACUGACGCUGAGACGCGAAAGCGUGGGGAGCGAACAGG